UAGGGAAUCUUCCGCAAUGGGCGAAAGCCUGACGGAGCAAUGCCGCGUGAGUGAUGAAGGUUUUCGGAUCGUAAAGCUCUGUUGCCAGGGAAGAACGUCCGGUAGAGUAACUGCUACCGGAGUGACGGUACCUGAGAAGAAAGCCCCGGCUAACUACGUGCCAGCAGCCGCGGUAAUACGUAGGGGGCAAGCGUUGUCCGGAAUUAUUGGGCGUAAAGCGCGCGCAGGCGGCUAUUUAAGUCUGGUGUUUAAACCUUGGGCUCAACCUAAGGUCGCACUGGAAACUGGGUGGCUUGAGUACAGAAGAGGAAAGUGGAAUUCCACGUGUAGCGGUGAAAUGCGUAGAUAUGUGGAGGAACACCAGUGGCGAAGGCGACUUUCUGGGCUGUAACUGACGCUGAGGCGCGAAAGCGUGGGGAGCAAACA
rnacentral:rRNA from 1 species